UACGUAGGGGGCAAGCGUUAUCCGGAUUCACUGGGUGUAAAGGGAGCGUAGACGGCGACGCAAGUCUGGAGUGAAAGCCCGGGGCCCAACCCCGGGACUGCUCUGGAAACUGCGGCGCUGGAGUACGGGAGGGGCAGGCGGAAUUCCUGGUGUAGCGGUGAAAUGCGUAGAUAUCAGGAGGAACACCGGCGGCGAAGGCGGCCUGCUGGACCGUGACUGACGUUGAGGCUCGAGAGCGUAGGGAGCAAACAGG
rnacentral:rRNA from 1 species